AUUGAACGCUGGCGGCAUGCCUUACACAUGCAAGUCGAACGGCAGCACGGGUGCUUGCCCCUGGUGCCGAGUGGCGAACGGGUGAGUAAUACAUCGGAACAUGUCCUGUAGUGGGGGAUAGCCCGGCGAAAGCCGGAUUAAUACCGCAUACGAUCUACGGAUGAAAGCGGGGGACCUUCGGGCCUCGCGCUAUAGGGUUGGCCGAUGGCUGAUUAGCUAGUUGGUGGGGUAAAGGCCUACCAAGGCGACGAUCAGUAGCUGGUCUGAGAGGACGACCAGCCACACUGGGACUGAGACACGGCCCAGACUCCUACGGGAGGCAGCAGUGGGGAAUUUUGGACAAUGGGCGAAAGCCUGAUCCAGCAAUGCCGCGUGUGUGAAGAAGGCCUUCGGGUUGUAAAGCACUUUUGUCCGGAAAGAAAUCCUUGGCCCUAAUACGGUCGGGGGAUGACGGUACCGGAAGAAUAAGCACCGGCUAACUACGUG
rnacentral:rRNA from 1 species